CAUUCAUAAUAAGUGUUUUAUGGCACUUUUUAAAUCCAUAUCCACCUUGUGUGCAAUGUCAGUCGAUCUUCUUCAUGGAGAUCGGCCAAACAUCAACCUUAUUUUUUAACUCUUUGUCUGAAAAAUAUUAUGAAUAAACAAUUCAAAAUACAACUUUCAACAACGGAUCUCUUGGCUCUCGCAUCGAUGAAGAACGCAGCGAAAUGCGAUACGUAAUGUGAAUUGCAGAAUUCAGUGAAUCAUCGAAUCUUUGAACGCAUAUUGCGCUCUUUGGUAUUCCGAAGAGCAUGCUUGUUUGAGUAUCAGUAAACACCUCAAAGCUUUUGGAUUUUUUUGAAAGCUUUGGACUUGAGCAAUCCCAACGCCAAUCUUUUUCAGAUCGGCGGCGGGUUGCUUGAAAUGCAGGUGCAGCUGGACUUUCUCCUGAGCUAAAAGCAUACUCAUUUAGUCCCGUCAAACGGAUUAUUACUUUUGCUGCAGCUAACAUAAAGGGAGUUUGACCGUAUUGGCUGACUGAUGCAGGAUUUUACAAGGGUCGGCAACGAUUCUUGUUAAACUCGAUCUCAAAUCAAGUAAGACUACCC
rnacentral:rRNA from 1 species